AUAAAAGGGCAGAGGUUUCUAGCUGGCUGUCUCUUGUUUGUUGGUACACAGACCCGCCCCACUUGCGUGUUUGCCGUGUUUGCUUCCGCCACCGGUGCAGUGGUGGAUCCUCCGGGUGCAGCCUGUCAACGCAGCCAUAGAAAGCAUGAAGCUCUCUCCUCUCUGCGUCAUCGAUAGGAAAGCCUGAUCGGGCCAAUCCAAUGAUUAAGGGACAU